UACGGAGGGUGCAAGCGUUAUCCGGAUUUACUGGGUUUAAAGGGUGCGUAGGCUGAUUGAUAAGUCAGUGGUGAAAUCCUCGGGCUCAACCCGGGAAUUGCCGUUGAUACUAUUAGUCUUGAAUAUAGUUGAGGUAAGCAGAAUGCGUGGUGUAGCGGUGAAAUGCUUAGAUAUCACGCAGAAUACCGAUUGCGAAGGCAGCUUGCUAAACUAUUAUUGACGCUGAGGCACGAAAGCGUGGGGAUCAAACAGG
rnacentral:rRNA from 1 species